UCCCCGUUAUCCGGGGCGGUUUCACUAGAGUGCCCAGCUUGACCUGACGGCAACUAGGGAUAAGGGUUGCGCUCGUUGCGGGACUUAACCCAACACCUCAAGGCACGAGCUGACGACAGCCAUGCAGCAUCUGUGCACGCUCCCUUGCGGGUCCUCAGCCUUUCGGCCUCGUACCACGUGCAUGUCAAGCCCAGGUAAGGUUCUUCGCGUUGCGUCGAAUUAAACCACACGCUCCGCUGCUUGUGCGGGCCCCCGUCAAUUCCUUUGAGUUUUAGCCUUGCGGCCGUACUCCCCAGGCGGGAUGCUUAAUGCGUUAGCUUCGGCACGGACGGAGUCGACACCGCCCACACCUAGCAUCCAUCGUUUACGGCGUGGACUAC
rnacentral:misc_RNA from 1 species